CAGUACUAUGCAGUGAGUUCGCAGGGAGAAGUGAAGUGUGAAUGUGGCUGAGAAAGACACCACAGGUCUGUUCGAGGGAUAGGAGAAGCAACACCAACACCCAAAACGGACAGAAAAAGAACCAUUGAACCACAAAAUUGUUCACCAGGUGUAUACCAACGGUAUAUCACGUACAAGUGUACGUUAAACAUUUCUCGAAAAUAUUAUGGGAAAAUAAAUGAGAUUUGAAUUUGAUUAGUGAAGACGAGAUAUGAAAGUGGUGGUCAAUUAUAUAAAUCAUGGUAGUGCCUCAAGAGUGCGGUGCAACAAGUAAAGCAAAUGUCUUACAUGCAACUAUCUCAGAAGUUUUACGAUGCUUUCAAGCUGUGUGGGACUUCCCUCAAAUCCCCACCCAUUGCUCGAAAACUUCAUGCCCAACUCAUACGCUCCGGCUUGGACGCUUCCCUUUUCUUACUCAACAAUCUAUUGCACAUGUACUCCAAUUGUGCCAUGCUCGAGGAUGCUUUUUGCGUUUUUCGCCAAACCAGUCACCGCAACACCUUUACAUGGAACACCAUGCUCCAUGCACUCGUUCAUUCUGAUCGGAUGCACGAAGCAGAGAAAUUGUUCGAUGAAAUGCCUACAAGAAUGAGAGACUCUGUUUCUUGGACCACAAUGAUAUCUGGUUACUGUCAGAAUGGCCUCCCUGCUCAUAGCAUCAAAACCUAUAUCUCAAUGCUUCGAGAUUCUGAUCAUGAAAUUCAAAACUGUGACCCCUUUUCCUAUACUUGUACAAUGAAGGCUUGUGCUUGCCUUGCCUCCACUCAGUUGGCUCUUCAGUUGCACGCCCAUCUCCUCAAGUUACAUUUGGAAGCCCACACUUGCAUUCAAAACGCUCUUGUUGAUAUGUAUAUUAAAUGUAGAGCAAUUCGUUUGGCUGAGGUUGUUUUCCUUGACAUUGAAAGCCCGAGCUUAUUUUGUUGGAACAGUAUGAUUUAUGGAUAUUCUCAAUUAUAUGGACCCGUUGAAGCUCUCCGAACAUUCAACCAAAUGCCUGAACAUGACAACGUUUCAUGGAACAUGCUGAUAUCUAUGUUCUCUCAACACGGCCUUGCAGUCCGUUGUCUUAGUAUGUUUAUGGAGAUGUGCAGUCUGGGUUUUAAGCCCAAUUUCAUGACUUAUGGUAGUGUACUCAGUGCAUGUGCCAACAUUUCUAGUCUAGAAUGGGGUGCCCAUUUGCAUGCUCGGAUUCUUCGAAUGGAACAUAGCCUGGAUUUAUAUUUGGGAAAUGGUCUCAUUGACAUGUAUGCCAAGUGUGGAUGCUUAGAACUUGCGAGGCGUGUUUUUGACCGUGUAGGUGAACGUAAUCAAGUUUCUUGGACUUGUUUGAUUGCUGGGGUGGCACAGUUUGGACUUGGAGAAGAUGCUUUCACUUUGUUUAACCAAAUGAGAUUGGAUUUUGUGGUGUUGGAUGAUUUCACUCUGGCCACAAUACUUGGGGUUUGUUCGGGUCAGAAGUAUGCUGCCCCUGGAAAACUAAUUCAUGGAUAUUCCAUCAAAAGUGGGAUGGAGUCCUCUGUUCCAGUAGGGAAUGCAAUCAUUAGAAUGUAUGCAAAGUGUGGUGAUGCUGAGAAAGCUCGUCUUGCAUUUAGAUUGAUGCCACUUAGGGAUAUCAUAUCAUGGACGACAAUGAUCAAUGUAUUUUCUCAAGACGGAGACAUUGACAUGGCACGCCAAUGUUUUGACACUAUGACUGAGCGAAACGUCAUAACUUGGAAUUCCAUGUUAAGCACGUAUGUCCAACAUGGGUUCACGGAAGAAGGGAUGAAAUUAUAUGUUUUGAUGAGAAGCAAAGCAGUCAAACCAGAUUGGGUCACUUUUGCAACCUCUAUCCGGGCAUGUGCCGACUUGGCAAUAGUAAAACUUGGGACACAAGUCAUAUGUCAUGCCAUGAAGUUUGGGCUCAGUUCAGAUGUUUCUGUUGCAAAUAGUAUUAUCACUAUGUAUUCAAGAUGUGGGCAAAUCAAAGAAGCACAAAAAGUUUUUGACUCAAUACAUGUGAAAAGCCUGAUUUCCUGGAAUGCCAUGAUGGCAGCAUUUGCACAAAAUGGUAUAGGCCAAAAAGUAAUUGAAACAUUUGAGGUUAUGUUAAGAACAGGGUGCAAACCUGACCAUAUAAGCUACGUUGCUGUUUUAUCUGGGUGCAGCCACAUAGGGCUUGUAGCUGAAGGGAAACAUUAUUACGAUUCCAUGACUCAAGAGUUUGGCAUUUCUCCAAGAAAUGAGCACUUUGCUUGUAUGGUAGAUCUGCUUGGUCGAGCAGGGUUACUAGACCAGGCCAAGAAUUUAAUAGAUGGGAUGCCUUUUAAGCCAAAUGCCACUGUUUGGAGUGCUCUACUAGGAGCAUGCCGAAUCCAUCACAAUUCAAGACUAGCUGAAACUGCCGUGAAGCAGUUGAUGGAAUUAAAUGUUGAAGAUUCUGGAGGUUAUGUCCUUCUAGCAAAUAUAUAUGCUGAGACAGGGGAGUUAGAAAAUGUUGCUGAUAUGAGAAAGUUGAUGAAAGUGAAAGGAAUUAGAAAGAGUCCAGGUUGUAGCUGGAUUGAGGUUGAUAAUGGGGUACAUGUGUUCACUGUAGAUGACUCCAAUCAUCCACAGAUAAAGGAGGUUUAUAUAAAACUGGAUGAGAUGAUGAAGAAAGUAGAAGAUACUGGAAAAUAUGUUAGUGUUGUCUCUUCCACUCAUAGGAGUAAAAAGUACCAUAGUGAAAAGCUUGCUUUUGCUUUUGGGUUGCUUAGUUUACCAUCUUGGAUGCCUAUACAUGUAAUGAAGAAUCUUCGUGUGUGCAACGAUUGUCACUUGGUAAUAAAGUUGUUGUCUUUGGUCACCUCAAGGGAGCUUAUAAUGAGAGAUCGAUAUCGAUUUCAUCAUUUCAAGGAUGGGUUUUGCUCUUGUGGAGAUUAUUGGUAGAUGAGAUCUUCAAUUGAGUUGUUUCUUUUUGCGUUGGAUUCUUGAUUCAAGGAGCUUUAAUUUCGGUGUCAGAGCAAAAUUUUUGGAGUUCUGAGCUAGAUGUAGUUUAAUUUGGAAAACCUCAGCGGUAUACAAGGAUUGGCUAUCAACAUUGUUUUCUCUCUCAGACUUGUAUUGUGGGCUGAGCAUAGAAUGGCCCAAAAAGAAAAAUAAAAGUGUCUGCCAUGGUACCAUUAGCUAAACAAUGUGCAUUUGAAGAAUCUUUCAUAAAGACAAUAACUGUUGAAAAUGUUUUGACAUGGCCGCAUGUGGUUCAGAACAUAUUCAGAAGCACAAUUCGACCUACACAUACCAGAACCAGAAGACCACUGCACCUCCACACGACCACUGCUGCACCACCGUGAGCUUAAGUCACGAAGGCAUAUAACAGGUGCAUAGAGGCAUGCACGAAUGAGAGAAGAGCAAAAACGAAUGGGCAGUUGUAUCGUGAAUCGUUCGAUAGCUACUACCAUGCUUCACAGUACUCUUCAACGUCUCUACAUGCCUUUCAAACCCCCCACUGUGCAAACCACGUCUCCUGCAGCCAUAUUAAAAGAUUCACAAAGCCUCCCAAAACUCCCAGUAUCCUAUUCAAAUCUCUUAUCACAAUGUGUUGCUGCAAAGUCGCUAACUUCAGUGUUGUCGUUUUAGGUAUGCCCGCAAGCUGGUUGAUGAAAGUUCUGAGCCAGAUGUGGUUUCUUGGUCUUCAUUGCUAUCUGGGUAUGUGCAAAAUGGGUUUUUGGAGGAGGCACUGUUGGUGUUUAAUG